GGGGAAGCCAGGUUGUUUUUCUCGUUGUUUGUCCUUCCCCAUCGGGCUAGGAAGAAUUCCUAAAAGGGACCACACAGGAAAGAGGCCCUAAUUUCUUAGCAGGACUUGAAUGAGGAUCUCUCACUCUGGCCAGCCGAGGAGGGGUGGCCUGGCCUCUGGGAGUCUUGGGGUCUUCCUGUCUGGAGGGAUGCUACCUCCGGGCGGAGGAAGGUGUUGAGAGAUCCUGGGAGCUCAGAGCCAGUUAGCUGAAAAACUGUCCUUUGGAAAGAAUCAAACUUCGGAAAACGCUUAAUAUCUGACUAAAGGCUUUUUCCUGGAGCCGCGGGAGGUGGGAACCCGGCCCGAGACGCCAAUGAGACAAGAUCAAACUCCCCUCUUCGGGGUGUGUGUGCGUGUGUGUGUGUGUGUGUGUGUGUGUGUGUGUGUGUGUGUGUGUGUGGUGUCGCCUCCUCCAAGCCGGGCUUUGUGAAUGGGGGCUCCGGGACGCCGGCUGGGAGGGACCAGAGGCCGACCCGGACACCAGCGCCUCCUCCCGGGGGCGAGGAGAAACCAGGCGGAGGGCGCCCCAGACACAGUGGUCCGGAGCGAGACAAGCAAGCGACAGGGACACAGGCCGCGGAGAGAUAAGGGCCGCGUCCCUGCAGGCCGAGCGGAGAGACGUAUGGUCGUGUGUGGGAGGGGGAGAGGGGAGAAUAAUAUGAAUCACAUCCCCCUUGCAGUCCCUUAAUUUCCGAUCCCAACAAAGCUUAAAUCUA